GCUGGGUGUGGUGGCGCAUGCCUGUACUCCCAGCUACUCUGGAGGCUGAGGUGGGAGGAUCACUUGAGCCUAGGAGGUCAAAGCUGCAGUGAACCAAGAUCAUGCCACUGCACUCCAGCCUAGGCAAUAGAGUGAGACCCUGCCUCAA
rfam:Gorilla gorilla gorilla genomic chromosome, chr16, whole genome shotgun sequence